rnacentral:tRNA from 2 species
AAGGGAGACCUAAUUCCGGUAGGAGACGAAAAAAAAGUAGUCCCAACCAAGAAUCAAUCCCAAAAGGUCGGAGCGAGGCGAAAUUGGCUUUCAAACUAGGUUCUGGGUUCACACAAGACCUGAAUCAGGAACAAGGGCUAUUAGCUCAGGUGGUUAGAGCGCACCCCUGAUAAGGGUGAGGUCCCUGGUUCGAGUCCAGGAUGGCCCACCUGUACAGGUGGAAGAAAGAAAAGAAGCUCCGAAUCAGCACCUUAUCUUACUUAUAUAGUAAGAGAGAAUGCUGGCUCUGAGUUCAGAGUCCAGAGGAACCUUGAAAACUGCAUAGAGCUAGGUGAAAAAGCCAAAAAAGAAGACCGCCA